AAAAACUAGUUAAAACUUUUUAAUAACAUUAGAAUGUCAUACUAAAAUUACUUUAUAGUGUUUUUC
rnacentral:tRNA from 1 species